rnacentral:rRNA from 1 species
UACGUAGGGUGCAAGCGUUGUUCGGAAUCAUUGGGCGUAAAGCGCGUGUAGGCGGUCUGUUAAGUCGAUUGUGAAAUCCCUGGGCUCAACCGAGGAAGUGCAGUCGAAACUAACAGGCUAGAAGAAGGUAGAGAAAGGUGGAAUUCCAAGUGUAGAGGUGAAAUUCGUAGAUAUUUGGAGGAAUACCGGUGGCGAAGGCGGCCUUUUGGGCCUUUCUUGACGCUGAGACGCGAAAGCGUGGGUAGCAAACAGG